rnacentral:tRNA from 2 species
GGGGGUAUGGCGAAAUCGGUAGACGCUGCGGACUUGAUAGGGGUAGGCAAUCCUGAGCCAAAUCCUGUUUAGAAAA